GGAGACGAGACAGAUCUGGCCCAGGCUAGGAAGGCUCGCUUUGGGGCUGGCACUAACCACACUGGGAACCUUGGUUUCAUCAGGAAACUGAAGAAGGUGUGUUAGAAGACAGUUCCCUGAGGUCCCUCCAGGCUUUGUUUUGCAAUUAAAGGAGCUAUAAUCUACAGGACAAAGUCCUUGUAAGCUCGUCAGGUGCACAUUACUAGGUACCUCAUGUGAUCCUAGGUUACCAUGGUAUUCGAUAUGUCUAUGAAUUGAGAAUGUUUGUGUGGAAAAGUGAAGAAGGGCCCUUGUGAACAAUACAGUUGAAUGCAAGUGCAAUCACCGGCUUCUGUUUCCAGGAACACGCGCCCUCCUGGCCUGCAGAACUCCUGCUUGUGUUCCUGUACCUGCCUAGCGAGCACCUUCUCCACGUCAGACAAACACCGCCACAGCCCUCUGCCUGCUUGUGUCUCCCACGGGCUUUAUUCCUGUGUGUCCUCAGGUGCUGUUGACUUGGUGCAUCAUCUGAGCUGAAUGGUAAACUCUUCCUACGAAGGUCUCCAUGGUCCUCUCCACUCUUCUACUGACUGUUUUCUCAGGCUGCUGUCUCUUUUGCUUGUGACUUUCCAGAAGGCCUUGUGAAAAUUUACCUCUCCGGAAAGAUGUGCCAAGCUAAGGUUGACAUCACCGGAGAUGGCUGUGGCAUUCUAGGAAGGUGACAUGGAGGAAGAGAGGAGUGACCAUGCUGUCCGUGCCCUGGAAGGACCAGAGAACAGAACCUAAGGCAAAAUGAAGACAGUGCACAUGCUUUGCCGAUCUCUCAGAUCAGGUUAAUGUUGGUGUGGGUUUGUACUUUGAUUUGAAGUGUUAUAAAUUCCAGCAGUUUAAACAUAUGCAUGUUACAGUGCCUUCCAGAGCCAUUUCUGGAUGGCUGGAUGAUUUGUUAUUUUGGAUGUUGGGCUCUUUUGGAUUAUCCAUGUCUACUUUUACAGGAGUAGGGCUUAUUAUUGCUCAAGUCCUCAUCAAGACGAUUGAGUAUAAGUAACAGCCAUGCACAUGAGCCAGGCAAAGAAGAAA